GGUCAGUUCGCGGAGUCAGAGAAGGAAAAUAGUCAGACAUUCCAGUGAUGGACCCUUGGCACUUGGUGUCCCCUGAAUCCUGGCUCCAGCUCUAAACUGUGGCAGGCACUAGUUCCACCUCACGAUGAGACAACUGGUAGAGGCCCUAGGCGCAGAACCAGUUCUCUGGUUCCCAAGAUCAAAAAAGAUGAAAAAUUCCCUCCUUGAACAAGCCACUGCAUUCAGACCAGCCACCUGACUCCUGAACUGCACAAAGUUACAGGUUCCAGAUGCUAUCAUGUUGCCAACCUGACUUCCUUGGGCAGACAACCCCACCAUGUAUCUUGGAGCCCCACCUCCCCAGAGCCCUGCCCCACUAGGGAAAGAGAGAGACAGGCUGGGCGUAUGGAUAGACCUGCCAACACCCAUGUUCAGUGGGGAAACAGUUACAGAAGCCAGACCUUCCACCUUCUGCAUCCCAUAAUGACCUUGGGCCAAUACUCCCAGAGGGAUAAAGAAUAGGAAAGCUAUCAGGGGAGAGGACUGGAUACGGAGCUUUGGGGGUGGGCUUUGUGUGGAAAUGUACCCCUCUUAUCCUGUG